CCUGACCGGGAAGAAAUUCCAAUGAGCAAUAUGGGGUCAAACACAAAAUCAUUAGAUAACAACUAUUCCACACUGAAUGAGAGAGGAGACCACAACAGAACACUGGACCGAUCUGGGGAUUUGGGUGAUAUGGAGCCAUUGAAGGGAGCACCCUUGAUGCAGGACGAGGGGCAGGAAUCUUUGGAGGAAGAGUUGGAUGUGUUGGUUUUGGAUGAUGAGGGGAACCAAGUGUCUUACCCCCCCAUGCAGAAGAUUUAGCACCACUCUACCUUCUCCAUAUGGGCUUAUAAUAUAUUACUUUUAUUUUUUGGUGGUGAAAUGGACUGAUGAUUUUUUUCCUUUCUUCGCUGGACUAUUGUGCCAACUGCCAGGCUGACUCCUACCCUUGUAGCCCAAAGUGGCUGCUUUCAUCCGUGAAUUAUCAACAUCUUCCACUGAAGUUUAAUUGUCCUCUCCUCCCAGCCCCUACUUCCAGUUUUCCCCCAAGAAACCUGACUCAGUUAUUUGCAUAUCUUGAACCUGCUGCAGAUUAGCUCUUUUUGCCAGCCUUCCCUGGACCUCUUGGCCUUGUAUAGAGAGAGGGAGGGAGAGUGGAACUCUCUACUGGAAUCAUUGGGAAGAACUGAAAAUUACACGCUGUCUGUUCAGCAUUCAGCAUUCUGACAAACUGAUGACUUUUAAUCAAGACUAUUUUUUCUGGUGUGGGGGAAUUUUUUAUUUUGCUGUGGAUGGGGAAGUGUGAGUCCUUCCCUUAUGCAGUGGCUGUUUUUGAAGCCAUGAAGGCUGGAAACAUUGGCGCAUUCCACCUGGCAAGGGCCUCCAGUAAGUGAAGUACUCCCACCCUCGGAGUAAGAACUCUUCUUCCUCCUGUCCGACCGAGGCAGGGACCGCAAAGGACCUACAGACUCCAUCUCCUCUGUCAGCUGCAGGGCAACCUUGGGGUGCUGUCCUGAUCAAGGCUGUCUCUAACCCUCCUCUCCUACCCUGUGAUAAAACUGCUAACUUGACCUGGCCGUUUGCAAGAUGCUUUGUAAAAAGGAGAAUGCCACGGAGCCGUUGGUUGUUGAGAAGAAACAAAGAUUGUCUGUUGCGAAGAUAAACCUCUAGGAGGAACUAGAAGGAAUGUACAUGAAGUGGUUAGUCUGAAACUGGCAGGAAGCUUCCAGGCUGGCUUUCCCCAGCCUUCCCCACCCAUCUCUCUUCUUCCUUUAUAAGCUUGUCCUCCCUCUCCUCCCCCUCCCUGGAUUUGUUGGCCAACUACAAGACUUGUACAUAACUCCUCCCCCUUUCCCUUCUAAGGUAGGAGCUGCCCUGGCUUUGCCUCUUCUCUGUGCCUUUGGCCUGGGGUGCACCUCCUCCCUCUCUUCCAGGUGCCUUUCUUUGCCUCUGCAGUCUCAUUUCUCAUGAUUUUGCAAGUUAGAUUUUGUUAUUUUCUUACCCACUGUUGGCCCCCAGUAGCUGAAGGAAAGAAGAGAAGUGGUAACCUAGGGAACUUCAAGUCCCCACUGGGGGUUGUUAAAGCCUCUGGUGUAUCACAGCAGGAUGCUGCUCAACAGCUUACAGUUGGGAUGGGUGAAGAUCAAAGUGAGGCUGUUAGGAGGGAGCGCCGUGACUGACUCCUGAGUUGUCCCCAGAUCCCAUCAUCUCUGAAAGGCUACAGGGAAUCAGGCCUUGCCUCCAUUGCACCCUUACUGUUAUAGUGAAUGGUAUAGCUUGGGCUAGAGAAGCAGCUACUAUGUGGGUUCAAUUUUUUAACUCUUUUUCCUUAUUU
rnacentral:lncRNA from 1 species